ACGUAGGGGGCAAGCGUUAUCCGGAAUUAUUGGGCGUAAAGAGUGCGUAGGUGGUUUUUUAAGCGUGAGGUGAAAGGCAAUAGCUUAACUAUUGUAAGCCUUGCGAACUGGAAGACUUGAGUGCAGGAGAGGAAAGUGGAAUUCCUAGUGUAGCGGUUAAAUGCGUAGAUAUUAGGAGUAACACCAGUGGCGGUGGGGACUUUCUAGCCUUUAACUGACAUUGAGGCGCGAAAGAGUGGGGAGGAAACAG
rnacentral:rRNA from 1 species